rnacentral:tRNA from 1 species
ACCUGGCUGGCUCAGUCAGUAGAGCGUGCAACUCUUGAUCUCAUGGUUGUGGGUUGGGGUCCCACGUUGGGUC